rnacentral:lncRNA from 1 species
GGUUUUUGUGUUUUUAUUUUUUGACUCUUGACCAUAGGGUGUAUUACCAGAGGCAAAGAGAAGAAGAAAUAACGCCUGAUUUCUUUACCUACAGAGCAGGGAACCUCAGUUAUUAAUGAGAUACAAGAGGUGACAUUUAUAUAGGCCUCACUGUAACAGAGCCCCUCAUAAUCACCAGUGGACUCCAUCCUACUUUUAUGCGAAGCAGUGGAUAUUCAUCCUUACUACACCGAGAGGGAACACAAGCACUGGUGAAGUGACGCCCCCAGGGAUGCCCCAGCCAGGCUGAGAACCUGCCGCGCACCUCCUGCACCCAGCUCCAGCCUGCACUGCUUCGGGCAGCACGGCGUCGCACCGGGUGAUGCUGGAAGCCAACACAGGGUGGUGUGGGCAUCACAAAAGGGAGAGAGAAGACAAAAUGCUCUGCACGUUCUGAAAUCUGAAUUUACCGGCAGGGUCAGGGAGCUAUUUUACUUGCUGCCACUGUGAACUCCGGGAAUGGAAUCAAUUAGUAUUAGUUUAAAACAUCAUCUGUUUCAGUUUAACAGAAAGCUUCUGUUCAAUGAAAUACAGGAUUGGUAAAUGAAAAAAAUAAAAGUUGAUCUGAUUUUAGUAACUCCUAAGGUACUAUGUUAGGUGUGUCAGAGGUAUAUCAUACAUCUGCCACAAAUGCGUAUGACAAUACAUUACUCUUGCUGUUCUUCACCUCUUCAGAUAAGGAGAUCCCAGUAAGUCGUGCACGAGCACAAAUCACAAAUCUGCACUAAGAAAGAUGUUUCACCAGCAACUGAGCAGAUGUGUGACUGAGCAUUUUCUCCAAUUAUAGGUACCAGGCACCAGGUGAGCAUACGUGGGAGGCCGGUGGGACUGGCCCACGGCGGAGGAAGAGCGGAGAACAUCCCGAGACAUCCCAUAACAACAUCUGCGUCCUGCCACCCUCAUUCGGUGCUUGCCCCCACUUCGCAGGAAAACCAGCGUCCUGGGUCUGUGAGUAAAAUCAAUAAUGGGGAAGAAAUUCCCAGCACCGUAACAGGGACAGUGGUGUCCGCAGCCCCAUUCUUUCUUGAAACUGUGUUAUUAUGGGAUGGAGUGUUAAGGAUCUGUCAGCAUUUCUAUUACAAACCUCAGUCUUUA